GACGAACGCUGGCGGCGUGCUUAACACAUGCAAGUCGAACGGAAAGGCCCUGCUUUUGUGGGGUGCUCGAGUGGCGAACGGGAGAGUAACACGUGAGUAACCUGCCCUUGACUUUGGGAUAACUUCAGGAAACUGGGGCUAAUACCGGAUAGGAGCUCCUGCUGCAUGGUGGGGGUUGGAAAGUUUCGGCGGUUGGGGAUGGACUUGCGGCUUAUCAGCCUGUUGGUGGGGUAGUGGCUUACCAAGGCGUUGACGGGUAGCCGGCCUGAGAGGGUGACCGGGCACAUUGGGACUGAGAUACGGCCCAGACGCCUACGGGAGGCAGCAGGGGGGAAUAUUGCACAAUGAGCGGAAGCCUGAUGCAGCAACGCCGCGUGCGGGAUGACGGCCUUCGGGUGAUAAACCGCAUUCGCCUGUGACGAAGCGUGAGUGACGUUAAUAGGUAAAGAAGCACCGGCUAACUACGUG
rnacentral:rRNA from 1 species